rnacentral:rRNA from 1 species
GGAUUAGAUACCCUGGUAGUCCUAGCUGUAAACGAUGGAUACUAGACGUAGGAACUGGAUUGACGGUUUCUGUGUCGUAGCUAACGCGUUAAGUAUCCCGCCUGGGGAGUACGGUCGCAAGACUAAAACUCAAAGGAAUUGACGGGACCCCGCACAAGCGGCGGAGCAUGCGGCUUAAUUCGAUGAUACGCGAGGAACCUUACCAGGGUUUAAAUGCAGAACGACAGGGGUGGAAACACCCCCUUCUUCGGACGGACUGCAAGGUGCUGCAUGGUUGUCGUCAGCUCGUGCCG